AGUCGACGGUUAAGCAUCUUCGGAUGUGUAUAAAGUGGCGAACGGCUGAGUAACACGUGGGCAACCUGCCCUUUGCACUGGGAUAGCCUCGGGAAACCGAGGUUAAUACCGGAUACUCCAUAUCCACCGCAUGAUAGAUAUGGGAAAGCUCCGGCGGCAAAGGAUGGGCCCGCGGCCUGUUAGCUAGUUGGUGGGGUAGUGGCCUACCAAGGCAAUGAUGGGUAGCCGGGUUGAGAGACCGACCGGCCAGAUUGGGACUGAGACACGGCCCAGACUCCUACGGGAGGCAGCAGUGGGGAAUCUUGCACAAUGGGCGAAAGCCUGAUGCAGCGACGCCGCGUGCGGGAUGAAGGCCUUCGGGUUGUAAACCGCUUUCAGCAGGGACGAGGCCGCAAGGUGACGGUACCUGCAGAAGAAGCCCCGGCUAACUACGUGCCAGCAGCCGCGGUAAUACGUAGGGGGCAAGCGUUAUCCGGAUUCAUUGGGCGUAAAGCGCGCGUAGGCGGUCUGUUAGGUCAGGAGUCAAAUCUGGGGGCUCAACCCCUAUCCGCUCCUGAUACCGGCAGGCUUGAGUCUGGUAUGGGAAGGUGGAAUUCCAAGUGUAGCGGUGAAAUGCGCAGAUAUUUGGAAGAACACCAGUGGCGAAGGCGGCCCUCUGGGCCAUGACUGACGCUGAGGCGCGAAAGCUAGGGGAGCGAACAGGAUUAGAUACCCUGGUAGUCCUAGCUGUAAACGAUGGACACUAGGUGUGGGGAGAUUAUACUUUCCGUGCCGCAGCUAACGCAUUAAGUGUCCCGCCUGGGGAGUACGGUCGCAAGACUAAAACUCAAA
rnacentral:rRNA from 1 species